rnacentral:rRNA from 1 species
ACGGGAGGCAGCAGUGGGGGAUAUUGCACAAUGGGGGAAACCCUGAUGCAGCGACGCCGCGUGAGUGAUGAAGUAUUUCGGUAUGUAAAGCUCUAUCAGCAGGAAAGAUAAUGACGGUACCUGACUAAGAAGCACCGGCUAAAUACGUGCCAGCAGCCGCGGUCAUACGUAUGGUGCAAGCGUUAUCCGGAUUUACUGGGUGUAAAGGGAGCGCAGACGGCAUGGCAAGCCAGAUGUGAAAGGCAGGGGCUCAACUCCUGGACUGCAUUUGGAACUGUCAAGCUAGAGUAACGGAGAGGUAAGUGGAAUUCCUAGUGUAGCGGUGAAAUGCGUAGAUAUUAGGAGGAACACCAGUGGCGAAGGCGGGUUACUGGACGAUAACUGACGUUGAGGCUCGAAAGCGUGGGGAGCAAACAGGAUUAGAUACCCUGGUA